rnacentral:rRNA from 1 species
CCUACAGGUGGCAGCAGUCGAGAAUCAUUCACAAUGGGGGAAACCCUGAUGGUGCGACGCCGCGUGGGGGAAUGAAGGUCUUCGGAUUGUAAACCCCUGUCAUGUGGGAGCAAAUUAAAAAGAUAGUACCACAAGAGGAAGAGACGGAUAACUCUGUGCCAGCAGCCGCGGUAAUCCAGAGGUCUCAAGCGUUGUUCGGAAUCACUGGUCGUAAAGGGUGCGUUGGCUGUUUCGUAAGGCGUGUGUGAAAGGCGCGGGCUCAACCCGCGGACGGCACAGGAGACUGCGAGACUAGAGUAAUGGAGGGGGAAGCGGAAUUCGCGGUGUAGCAGUGAAAUGCGUAGAUAUCGAGAGGAACACUCGUGGCGAAGGCGGCUUACUGGACAUUAACUGACGCUGAGGCACGAAGGCCAGGGGAGCGAAAGGGAUUAGAUACCCUAGUAGUC